rnacentral:rRNA from 1 species
CCUGACCGUGCUAAGGUAGCAUAAUCAUUUGCCUUUUAAAUGGAGGCUGGUAUGAAUGGCAAGACGGAAAUUUAGCUGUCUCUCUUUUAGAACUUUAAAAUUAAUAUUUUUGUGAAGAAGCAGAAAUAAGAUCGUAGGACGAGAAGACCCUAUCGAGCUUAAGUAAUAUGAUAUAGAUUUAUAUUAUGUCUUUUGUAUUAAUUACCCUUAUUUAAGGGAGUAUUUUUAUUAAGAGGAUGUGGAAUUUUAUAUUUUUUAUUUAGAUUGGGGCAAUCGCGGAAAAGAUAGAACUUCCGUUGUAGAUGUGAUUUAAAAAGUGACACCUUUAAAGCAUAUGUAAGUAAUAUUUUAAUGAUCCAUUUUUUAGAAGAAUGAGUAAAGGAAUAAGUUACCGUAGGGAUAACAGCGUAAUUCUUUUGGAGAGUUCAUAUUGAUAAAAGAGUUUGGCACCUCGAUGUUGG